UACGUAGGGCGCAAGCGUUGUCCGGAAUUAUUGGGCGUAAAGAGCGUGUAGGCGGCUCGGCAAGUCCGCUCUGAAAGCCCGGGGCUCAACCCCGGGAGGCGGGCGGAUACUGUCGGGCUAGAGUCCGGAAGAGGCGAGUGGAAUUCCUGGUGUAGCGGUGAAAUGCGCAGAUAUCAGGAGGAACACCAAUGGCGAAGGCAGCUCGCUGGGACGGUACUGACGCUGAGACGCGAAAGCGUGGGGAGCAAACAGG
rnacentral:rRNA from 1 species